GGGGAUUUGGCUCAGUGGUAGAGUGCUUGCCUAGCAAGCACAAGGCCCUGGGUUCAGUUCCCAGCUCCG
rnacentral:tRNA from 1 species